rnacentral:hammerhead_ribozyme from 1 species
AUACAGCAGACGAGUCCCAAAUAGGACAAAACGUACGUCCUGGAU